rnacentral:ribozyme from 1 species
GGCUUUCCGAAUGCGCCCCGCAUUCCACUUUGCAAGCGAUCAGCUCCAGCACACGACAACAUUUUAUUGAUUCGAAUUACAUGAAAAGGAUGGAUACGAA